rnacentral:rRNA from 1 species
CGCGUAACACGUACGCAAUCUACCCAUUACAGGGGAAUAGCCCAGGGAAACUUGGAUUAAUACCCCAUAUUAUAUAGGAGUGGCAUCACUUUUAUAUCAAAGCUUCGGCGGUAAUGGAUGAGCGUGCGGUUGAUUAGAUAGUUGGCGGGGUAACGGCCCACCAAGUCUACGAUCAAUAGCUGAUGUGAGAGCAUGAUCAGCCACACGGGCACUGAGACACGGGCCCGACUCCUACGGGAGGCAGCAGUAAGGAAUAUUGGGCAAUGGACGCAAGUCUGACCCAGCCAUGCCGCGUGAAGGAUGAAGGUCCUCUGGAUUGUAAACUUCUUUUAUCUGGGGCGAAAACAACUCUUUCUAGAGUUCUUGACAGUACCAGAGGAAUAAGCACCGGCUAACUCCGUGCCAGCAGCCGCGGUAAUACUGAGGGUGCAAGCGUUAUCCGGAUUCACUGGGUUUAAAGGGUGCGUAGGCGGG